CAUAAAGUGGAGGAACCCAAUAAACAAGUAGCACAAAGGAGGGAAUAUCAGCCUGACUUUGGGUCACGCUUACCACCACUCGGGAAAUGCCGGCUCGUUGUACAUUUCAGCGAACAUGUGUUGAAUAAUGAAUGAGUCACGGGAGCCUUGUUCAAAGAAGAGAGAACACCAUAGCUGACUCAGGAUAAAGGGGUAGGAGAUGCUCAGGCAGAGGGGUCACCUUGUGCCAGGUGACCUAACAAAUCAGCGGAAAUGAGAUCACGGAGGUCUGCUAGGGACGACCUUUGACAUCCUGCCAUCCCUGACUGCCAACCACAACCACAAAAUGUCGCGGCCCCAUUGUAACCAGGCGGCUGUUGAUAGCUGCUUGUUUUUGAUCUUCCUUGGAACCCAGACAGGAUUUGCAAGGGGCCGGGAUCACCGUGCCAGUGCGUGCACCUGCCUCUGGCUUGGUGUGUGAUUGUUUCUGGAGCCCUUGUCCAAUGGCCGGGAAGUGCUUAUUUCACACUUGGCUGGAAGGGACAAAAGAACUUAGGGGCCAAAACAGAAGUCGGAUUGUUAUAUUGUUCUAAAUAAGAAUGUGUUGAGUGGUUGCCAAAGACUCAAAAAGGACGAGAAUGGAUGCAGUGUGUUUUGCUGCUGGAGAGUGCAAAUAUUAUUUUUGGAAGGUGUCCUGUAGACACACCCUCCACCUCAUGUCAAGAGAUAAAAUGUCUCUGUUAAUGUGCUCUUGGCGUUGAGAGAUGGAGGGAUGGAAAGACCUUUAGGCCAUGAGCACCAAGUCAGAGUGGUGGAGGCGGGGCUGGGAGCCGGGGGACCCAGGGCCGAGCCCUACCCACACCUCCCUCUCCCAGGCCACGUGACUCGGAGCACCGCACGUCCCCGCUGUCGCUGGCGGGUUCUCAGCACUAACCGACGAGGAGACCCCAGAAGUGUACCCAGCACAGCCCCCAUGGCAGCAACCUGGUCAGGCUGACCCACCCCCGGGGGGCAGGGGCAUGGGUCAUGUGGACCUGAGCUGGGACAAAAGGAUACACACCUCAACGAGAGGCGAGAAGCAGACGGUGACACCCUACAACAGUGAGGCACACGGUGUCCGAAACAGUUCUUCCCCUCCGCAGACCCAACUUCUGCAGCCGGCAGUCCCCGCCAAGGACGGCCAGCGGGGUAUCCUGGCUGAGGUCCUCGAAAGCACUGGGAGGCGAUCAAGGACGACGGUCUGCCCCAGAGUGGAGAGGUCCCGCAGCCUGACCAUCAGAUGAGCACAGGGCAGACUGCCAUUCGGGCUAGACUGAAAUGUCUGACAAGGAGCGUGUUGGGCUCGUCCUGGACACAAGAGGGAGAGGAACCUCAGCCUCGGAGCAGAGAGGCAGGGCUGGGUGUGACCAACAGGAAAGCCAACAUAAACACAGAAUGCUUCAAGACAGAUGCAUUGAGGAGGAAACCAAGGACCAGGAGCCCAAGAGAGACACCUGUUAAGUUUCUGGAAUUGUCUCUGCUGGGCUCCUUCUCAUAAGGAGUAUUGCUACCAGCCCCGCAUGUUGCCGCAGAAAUGCAUGCCAAGUUAUGGAAGCGUCCUGGACAGGCUGAUGGCAGAUAGAUCAGCAACUUGGGACCCCUUCAAAUUGACAGUCUCUAAAUAUAUGCCCAAUAUUUGCGGCACCCGGG
ensembl:lincRNA